rnacentral:rRNA from 1 species
CAGUCGCCGCGGUAAUACAGAGGAUGCAAGCGUUAUCCGGAAUGAUUGGGCGUAAAGCGCGCGCAGGUGGUUUAAUAAGUCUGAUGUGAAAGCCCACGGCUCAACCGUGGAGGAUCAUUGGAAACUGUUAAACUUGAGUGCAGGAGAGAAAAGUGGAAUUCCUAGUGUAGCGGUGAAAUGCGUAGAUAUUAGGAGGAACACCAGUGGCGAAGGCGGCUUUCUGGACGAAAACUGACGCUGAGGCGCGAAGGCCAGGGGAGCGAACGGGAUUAGAUACCCGCGUAGUCCCUGUCUCUUAUAC